rnacentral:piRNA from 1 species
UGAUGCUUGGCCUGUCCCGUUGUGGGCACC